CCUACGGGAGGCAGCAGUGAGGAAUAUUGGUCAAUGGACGAGAGUCUGAACCAGCCAAGUAGCGUGAAGGAUGACUGCCCUAUGGGUUGUAAACUUCUUUUAUAUGGGAAUAAAAUGUUCCACGUGUGGGAUUUUGUAUGUACCAUAUGAAUAAGGAUCGGCUAACUCCGUGCCAGCAGCCGCGGUAAUACGGAGGAUCCGAGCGUUAUCCGGAUUUAUUGGGGUUAAAGGGAGCGUAGGUGGAUUGUUAAGUCAGUUGUGAAAGUUUGCGGCUCAACCGUAAAAUUGCAGUUGAAACUGGCAGUCUUGAGUACAGUAGAGGUGGGUGGAAUUCGUGGUGUAGCGGUGAAAUGCUUAGAUAUCACGAAGAAUUCCGAUUGCGAAGGCAGUUCACUGGACUGCAACUGACACUGAGGCUCGAAAGUGUGGGUAUCAAACAGGAUUAGAUACCCCAGUAGUC
rnacentral:rRNA from 1 species